AUGAGGUCGUGAGUGAUGAUCAAAUGGGGGCUGGGGGGUAGGGGGGCGAGUAAGUGACUUGUCCUUGGGAACAACUGCAUGCGUAGAAGCGCGCAUCAGCCCAACAACUUUCCCUUUUCCUCUUAGGGACUGAUGACUAGGCGAGAGACACCAAGGCGAGCCACUAGUUGCCCACAGGAACCUGUGUAAGCCGAGCUCUCAAGCGGCUGAGUUGAAUGAAGUUAUGACUGCGUUUGCUCUAAUGGGUUAUGGCUUCCCGAAUGUAAUAGGAGAAGAAAAGAAUCACGACGCACAACUUGGAAAGCCUUCUGAAAACAAGAAUGGGCAAUGAUUGCCAAGAACCUGAUGUUUAGCUCAUAUUUAAAAAGAACUCAAAGAAUCUUCAAUCUACCAAACCUAGUUUAGUUAUAAACAAUCAGAACUUCAAAAAGAAGCAAGCAGGAGAAAGCUUUGGGAAAGUCAUGAUUUAGUUUGCAAUAACCUCUGUGCGUUCCUGAUCCUGACAAGCAAGCAUGAGGCAGAAGAUCUGGACAUGACUUAACUCAAUUUCAGAAAACCAGACAACCUUAUAAUGAGGCUGAAGCAAGACCACACGGAAUACUGAGGAAGAACUGAAUGACUCUUUCUACACCAUCUUACAGACAAGAGAUGAAUAAGAGGAAGUAUGGGUAGCAAGUAAGAGAGAAGUGACGUUGUUAAUAUGAAAGCUUGACAGGAGAUUAAGAUGGGUCAAGAGCAUGUCAGGUCAGGACUUGCAAGAUGUACUUAAGUAAAUGUAAGUUCAUAUUAGGAAUUGGAAAAAAUGAGAAAUAAAAACACCAAGGACUCACAAAACUUAGGAUCAUGAAAAGGCAAUUGAAAACUAGUAAAAGGAGCCGAGUUUACAUCAUGAUGGUGCCUACCAAGGUAUGCUUGACAUCUAAUCUCUUUAGAACAGUUGGAGGGAAAUUUUCACAGAUGUUAAACUGUGCUUCUUAUAAUUUAAUGUGCACAUGAAUCUCCUGGGCAACUCUUUUGAUUCUAAGUCUGGGGUCAGCAUCAACAUUUGGCAUUUUCAACAAAUUCCCAGGUGAUAUGAGGUUGUGCCACAUUUUUUUUUCACAGCAAAAUACUAAAAUUUGCUGCCCCAGCCUAUGGUUUCAUCUGCAUUAUGGCUUCAAUGAAAAUAAGCUAAUCUCUUUAGUAACGGAAGUGAAUGCUAUGUAAAAAAAAAUAAUUCAAGGAAAAGACCUGUUCUUUUAACUGUAGUGUUACACAAACCACAAACUCUAAUUUGCUCCUGAACCCAUUAAUUCUAGAAAGUUCUUAAGCACAGUGGACAUCAACCUCUUAUUAUCAGUAACACUGGCUAUAGUUUGAACAUUUAUCAUUUUGUACCUAUUGGAGUAAAAAAAGAGAGAAUCUGUUUGGAAUAAGUUGAGCACAUUGCAAAAUGGAAAAGUCAGGGAAAAUUAUUCUAGUCAUGUAAAGAGGAUUGGUUAGGUCAUAUUCUGAGUCCUAAGCUCAUUCUGGGUUUCUUUCUAAAAAUAGGAUAUUUUGGAACUAGAGAAAGCAUAGCAGAAGGCAACCAGAAUGACAGAGGGAUUUGGGGAAUUUGCUGCUGCUGAAAGGUUAAAGAAACUAGGUCUGUUUUCUUUUGUAAGGAGAGAAAAGAUGGUACCUCACUGAGGUGAUAUCAUUCUAAAAGUAGUGGAAGUAAUAGGAUGAGACAAGAGUGCCUUAUGGAAACGAGAGUAGAAGGAUUCUGGCAAGAAAUGAAGGCCAGAAGAAUGGCUCUAGCUUUUCUAAAGGCCCUUAGUUAGUGGUGUUCCUACUGGCAGAACUCCACUGCUUGCAAAAGGAGGAGUAAACACUAGAUUGGGAUCAGGAAAUAAGUGAGAGAUAGAAAAUGAGGAGGCAGGGGGAUCUUAUCUCUUAGUUCACUGAGAACAUUGUCAAACAGGCAUUUAUUAAUCCUAUAGAAGCCCCGCACUCAAGGCAUAUGGUAAACUUUACCGACAUUCCCCAAGCUCAAGGGCUUUGCUUCUGUAACACAUCACAUUUCUGCUUCCUCUUCAUCCCCAAAUGGCAUUUUGUCCAUCAAUUCGGCAAAGAAAUGUAAAUAGUUAUAAUAUGCAGGGUUUUCUCUCUAAAUUACUUUUUCCCUCUUCAUCAAUCCUGGAAAACAUUCUCUUUUUAUUUUUAUUUAUUUAUUUCUAGAGACAGGGUCUUGCUCUGUCACCCAGGCUGAAAUUCAGUUGUUCCAUCUUGGCUCACUGCAACUUCUGCCUCCUGAGCGCCAGUGAUUUUCCCACCUCAGCCUCCUGAGUAGCUGGGAACACAGUUGCAUGCCACCACACCUGGAUCAUUUUUGUAUUUUUUGUAGAGACAGGGUUCUGCCAUGUUGCCCAGGCUGGUCUCGAACUCUGGGACUCAAAUUAUCUGCCUGCCUUGAGUUCACAAAAUGCUGGGAUUACAGUCAUGAGCCACUGCGCCUGGCCUGAUUCUCUUUUCAGUUGGUAGAAAAGCAUUGUCCAUGACUUCGCAUCUGAGACCCCAACAUCUUCAUUUGAUCCCUGAAACACAGAGAUGAAAGGACUUGCAGACCAUUCUGGACCACUCCAUAAUUUUAUAGCAGGGGAAUAUAAAGUUCAUAGAGUUGAUAAUCAUGUGGAUUUUAUCUGUAUGGUACUAGAGUAUUUAUGCUUUCUGAAAAUUCCCUGUGAGCUAUCUGGAAAAUACCAGUUAUUCCAUGAGUUAGCUUAGUACUGUGGUCCUCUGUUAAAAUUGGUUUUCAGCUCUGUGUCUUUUUACUUAGACAACCUUUGAGGGGAAUUGCUCUGGGUCCACUGCUUUAGGUGAUUGACUCAAACUUCCCCAAAAUGUAGGAAAGUUGGUUAACUAACUUUAGGUGGUUAAGCAACUUUGCUAUAGUCACACAGCUUGUAAGUAGUAGAGGAGGAAUUAAAAUUCAGGCUGUUCAGAUCUAAAGUUUAUGCUUUUAAGCACUGGACUACAUUUACCCCCUCUUGCCUUUUUCCUUUCUGAAUACAUACAUGUUUGCUUUUGUUGCAGUUUGUGUGUGUUAGAGUAUUGCGGCAAGCCAGUCUCACCUAACUAUACUGCUUCCCCCUCUCCCGACACCUUGACUGCUAUAUAAUAGAAACUUACUAUAAUUUUCCUAUAUGAGUUAGAAUUAAACUGCUCCUUUUUUAUCUCUGGGAAGACUUGUUUUCUAACUUUAUCCAGUAUAGCAGCAUAGAUUGCUAUGCAAGGAGAGACUGAAGAAUGGUGAUCACCAAUUGCCCUAUGUUCUAGGGAGGCUUAAACGACUUCUGGAGCCUCCUCUUCCCCCACCUCCAUCUUAGAAGAUAGCAGACGUAUCCUUGAAGAGGCCUUGACAGAACAUAGGCCAAUUCACUUCUAAGAUGCAGGUUAUUCUUGAAAUCUAAGAGCUGCAAAUCAAAGAUGGGGUAUACACUCAAAUUAGGGGGCACUAAUGCGAUGACUCAGAGUCCCAGAAUGGGUCUGAGUAUGCAAAUCACUGUGGAGAUGUUCCCAAAGUCUUGACAGAUCUAUGUUAAGGCAGAAACAAGGACAUCAUAUUCUCCAAUAUUGCUGUGAUACAGAAUCUAAAUAGUGACCUGAACCCUGGAAAUGUCAGCCAAUAAAUGGAGAAAGGAAGAGACCGGCCAGAGAUCUGGGGCUGUUGAGAAGCCUGUGAACCCAAUGACUUGGAAUAAAGACAACUGGGAGAAGCCUGAAAUUUCAAGAGAAAAAGAGAAAUCUCUGGCCCUAAUGCUGAGCCUUUCUUGGUGUCCCCUGUCUCUGUACUCUGUUUCCUACCUCCUGUAAGACAGGACAUCUCUUGGAAUCAUCCGAUGUGUUGGAAGGGAACUGUGAGAGAAAGAGCAUUCAUGCUGUGUUGUGAGUUCUAUUGUGUCACCUUGGCAAGCCAUUUUCUUUCUCUGGGCCUCAGUUUUUCCACUGAUAUAAUGGCCUUAGAUUUGACAUUUGUUAUGAGUUGAAUUUUGUCCUCUCUAAAUUCAUAUGUUGAAGUCUCAACCUUCAGUGCCCCAGAAAGUAACCCUGUUUGGAGCUGGGUCUUUAAAGAGAUGAUUAAUUUAACAUGAGGCAUUAGGGUGGAGCUCCAAUUCAAUGUGCUUAAUUUUUUAUAAGAAGAGGGAGACACCAGGGUUGCAUAUGCACAGAGGAAAGACCUUGUGAGGACACAGCAAGAGGACAUCCAUCUGCAAGCUGAGGAGAGAGAGGCCUCAGAAUAAACCAACCUGUUUGGCACCUUAAUCUUAGACUUCCAGCCUCCAGAACUAUGAGAAAAUGGGUUUCUGUUAUUGAAGACAUCCAGUGUGUGGCCUUUUGUUUUGGCAGCUAUAGCAAACAAAUACAGGUUUCAAAUGGCCCAAUUAGCUGCCUUCCUAUUUCUGUGAAACUUCCUUCAACAGGCUUAGUAUUGGAAGGGACUGAAGUUGACUGCAAAGUCUUUGAUAGUUCUUUCAUAAAGAGGUGGGGUCUAUGUGCCCCUCCACUGCUUUCGGGUGGCUCAGUGACAGCUUUGAUCAAUAGAAUAAGGGAAAAGUUAUACUUCUAGUUUCCUGGUUCUAAGCCUUAGGAUACUCUUCACCUCCUCUUCCUCUGUCAUGGAACACCUGUUCUUAGACCUCUGGACCACCAUGUAAAAAGACCAACUACCCUGUUGGAGAUGCCAUGUGAAGUGGUCAUGAGACUACAUGGAGAGAGUAAAAGGCCCAACUGAGCCCAGCCUUCCAGUUUGCCCUGCUGAGAUGCUGGGCAUGUGAGUGCAACUCACUUGGACACUCCAGACCAGACCAGCCCAGCCACCAGCUGAAGGUCACUAAGUGACCCCAGUCAAUGCCAUGUGAAAUGAAGUGCCUAGCCAAGACCUGCCAGAAUUCUUAAUCAUCAGAUAUAAUAUUGUUGAGUAAGCCACUAAGUUUUGUUACAAUGCUUGUUAGCUUGUUACAAUGAUAUAAUAAACAUUUCGGAACUGAUUUACUA